GAAAUGCGAUAAGUAGUGUGAAUUGCAGAAUUCAGUGAAUCAUCGAAUCUUUGAACGCACAUUGCGCCCCUUGGUAUUCCAUGGGGCAUGCCUGUUCGAGCGUCAUUUGUACCCUCAAGCUCUGCUUGGUGUUGGGUGUUUGUCCCCGUCUCCGCGCGUGGACUCGCCCCAAAGUGAUUGGCAGCCGGCGUACUGGUCCCGGAGCGCAGCACAUGUCGCGCAAACGAGUGCCUUGGUACGGCGGCGUCCAUAAGCCCCUCUCUCACGCUCUUGACCUCGGAUCAGCUAGGGAUACCCGCUGAACUUAAGC
rnacentral:misc_RNA from 1 species